UACGGGGGGAGCAAGCGUUGUUCGGAUUUACUGGGCGUAAAGCGCGCGCAGGCGGUCUUGUAAGUCGGACGUGAAAUCCCGGGGCUCAACCUCGGACGUGCGUCUGAUACUGCGAGACUGGAGUACUGGAGAGGAGAGCGGAAUUCCCGGUGUAGAGGUGAAAUUCGUAGAUAUCGGGAGGAACACCAGUGGCGAAGGCGGCUCUCUGGACAGAUACUGACGCUGAGGCGCGAAAGCGUGGGAAGCAAACAGG
rnacentral:rRNA from 1 species